UGGCGAACGGGUGAGUAACGCGUGAGGAACCUGCCUCAAAGAGGGGGACAACAGUUGGAAACGACUGCUAAUACCGCAUAAGCCCACGACCCGGCAUCGGGUUGAGGGAAAAGGAGCAAUCCGCUUUGAGAUGGCCUCGCGUCCGAUUAGCUAGUUGGUGAGGUAACGGCCCACCAAGGCAACGAUCGGUAGCCGGACUGAGAGGUUGAACGGCCACAUUGGGACUGAGACACGGCCCAG
rnacentral:rRNA from 1 species